GCCAGUGUGGUGCAGUUGUUUGAGUGUUGGAUUAUAACUCUGGAAUCCAGGGUUCAAAUCCCUGCUUGGCC